CUUGCNGUCGAGCGGCAGCGGGUCCUUCGGGAUGCCGGCGAGCGGCGGACGGGUGAGUAAUGCCUAGGAAUCUGCCUGGUAGUGGGGGAUAACGUUCGGAAACGGACGCUAAUACCGCAUACGUCCUACGGGAGAAAGUGGGGGAUCUUCGGACCUCACGCUAUCAGAUGAGCCUAGGUCGGAUUAGCUAGUUGGUGGGGUAAUGGCUCACCAAGGCGACGAUCCGUAACUGGUCUGAGAGGAUGAUCAGUCACACUGGAACUGAGACACGGUCCAGACUCCUACGGGAGGCAGCAGUGGGGAAUAUUGGACAAUGGGCGAAAGCCUGAUCCAGCCAUGCCGCGUGUGUGAAGAAGGUCUUCGGAUUGUAAAGCACUUUAAGUUGGGAGGAAGGGCAGCUAGUUAAUACCUGGUUGUUUUGACGUUACCAACAGAAUAAGCACCGGCUAACUUCGUGCCAGCAGCCGCGGUAAUACGAAGGGUGCAAGCGUUAAUCGGAAUUACUGGGCGUAAAGCGCGCGUAGGUGGUUCAGCAAGUUGGAGGUGAAAUCCCCGGGCUCAACCUGGGAACUGCCUCCAAAACUACUGAGCUAGAGUACGGUAGAGGGUAGUGGAAUUUCCUGUGUAGCGGUGAAAUGCGUAGAUAUAGGAAGGAACACCAGUGGCGAAGGCGACUACCUGGACUGAUACUGACACUGAGGUGCGAAAGCGUGGGGAGCAAACAGGAUUAGAUACCCUGGUAGUCCACGCCGUAAACGAUGUCGACUAGCCGUUGGGAUCCUUGAGAUCUUAGUGGCGAAGCUAACGCGAUAAGUCGACCGCCUGGGGAGUACNGCCGCAAGGUUAAAACUCAAAUGAAUUGACGGGGGCCCGCACAANCGGUGGANCAUGUGGUUUAAUUCNAAGCACCNCGAANAACCUUACCUGGCCUUGACAUGCUGANAACUUUCCANAAAUGGAUUGGUGCCUUCGGGAACUCAAACACAGGUGCUGCAUGGCUNUCCUCACCUCNUGUCCUGAAAUNUUGGNUNAAUCCC
rnacentral:rRNA from 1 species